AAUCAUCUUGAUUAGUAUAGUAUGUAAUUAAGAGAAAUUUGUGUUGGCGAUGCAAAAUUGUAGGAGGGUGGGGAACUGCACCAGAUGGACCAUUUGCUUGGGGAUAUUGCUAUCUGAGGGAACAAAAUCCAGGGUCUUACUGUUCUCCAAGUCCCACUUAUCCUUGUGCUCCUGGCAAACAAUAUUACGGUAGAGGUCCUAUCCAAAUUUCAUGGAAUUACAAUUAUG
rnacentral:misc_RNA from 1 species